rnacentral:rRNA from 1 species
GGGGAAUAUUGCACAAUGGGGGGAAACCCUGAUGCAGCGACGCCGCGUGAGUGAAGAAGUAUUUCGGUAUGUAAAGCUCUAUCAGCAGGGAAGAUAAUGACGGUACCUGACUAAGAAGCACCGGCUAAAUACGUGCCAGCAGCCGCGGUAAUACGUAUGGAGCAAGCGUUAUCCGGAUUUACUGGGUGUAAAGGGAGUGUAGGUGGUAUCACGAGUCAGAAGUGAAAGCCCGGGGCUCAACCCCGGGACUGCUUUUGAAACUGUGGAACUGGAGUGCAGGAGAGGUAAGUGGAAUUCCUAGUGUAGCGGUGAAAUGCGUAGAUAUUAGGAGGAACACCAGUGGCGAAGGCGGCUUACUGGACUGUAACUGACACUGAGGCUCGAAAGCGUGGGGAGCAAACAGGAUUAGAUACCCUGGUA